AUCUAACAGGAUUCCCCUAGUAACUGCGAGUGAAGCGGGAAAAGCUCAAAUUUAAAAUCUGGUGGCCUUUGGUCAUCCGAGUUGUAAUUUAGAGAAGCGUCUUCCGCGCUGGACCGUGCACAAGUCUCCUGGAAUGGAGCGUCAUAGAGGGUGAGAAUCCCGUCUUUGGCACGGACCCCAGGGCUUCUGUGAUGCGCUCUCGAAGAGUCGAGUUGUUUGGGAAUGCAGCUCAAAAUGGGUGGUGAACUCCAUCUAAAGCUAAAUAUUGGCGAGAGACCGAUAGCGAACAAGUACCGUGAGGGAAAGAUGAAAAGCACUUUGGAAAGAGAGUGAAACAGUACGUGAAAUUGUUGAAAGGGAAACGCUUGAAGUCAGUCGCGUCGCCCGAGACUCAGCCUUGCCUCGGCUUGGUGUAUUUCUCGGCUGACGGGUCAGCAUCAAUUUUGCCCCUCGGAUAAUGGCAAGGGAAAUGUGACACCUUUACGGGUGUGUUAUAGUCCCGCGUCGCAUGCGAGGGUCGGGAUUGAGGAACUCAGCACGCGCUUCGGCGUCGGGGUUUUUGCCCACGAUACGUGCUUAGGAUGUUGGCGUAAUGGCUUUAAACGACCCGUCUUGAAACACGGACCAAGGAGUCUAACAUGCCCGCGAGUGUUCGGGUGGAAAACCCGUGCGCGCAAUGAAAGUGAAAGUUGGGACCUCUGUCGUGGAGGGCACCGACGCCCGGACCAGACCUUCUGUGACGGAUCUGCGGUGGAGCGUGUAUGUUAGGACCCGAAAGAUGGUGAACUAUGCCUGAAUAGGGUGAAGCCAGAGGAAACUCUGGUGGAGGCUCGUAGCGAUUCUGACGUGCAAAUCGAUCGUCAAAUUUGGGUAUAGGGGCGAAAGACUAAUCGAACCAUC
rnacentral:rRNA from 1 species